AGAGUUUGAUCCUGGCUCAGGAUGAACGCUAGCGGGAGGCCUAACACAUGCAAGCCGAGCGGUAUUGUUUCUUCGGAAACGAGAGAGCGGCGCACGGGUGCGGAACACGUGUGCAACCUGCCUUUAUCUGGGGGAUAGCCUUUCGAAAGGAAGAUUAAUACCCCAUAAUAUUUUGAAUGGCAUCAUUUAAAAUUGAAAACUCCGGUGGAUAGAGAUGGGCACGCGCAAGAUUAGAUAGUUGGUAGGGUAACGGCCUACCAAGUCAGUGAUCUUUAGGGGGCCUGAGAGGGUGAUCCCCCACACUGGUACUGAGACACGGACCAGACUCCUACGGGAGGCAGCAGUGAGGAAUAUUGGACAAUGGGUGAGAGCCUGAUCCAGCCAUCCCGCGUGAAGGACGACGGCCCUAUGGGUUGUAAACUUCUUUUGUACAGGGAUAAACCUAUUUACGUGUAAAUAGCUGAAGGUACUGUACGAAUAAGCACCGGCUAACUCCGUGCCAGCAGCCGCGGUAAUACGGAGGGUGCAAGCGUUAUCCGGAUUUAUUGGGUUUAAAGGGUCCGUAGGCGGAUCCGUAAGUCAGUGGUGAAAUCUCAUAGCUUAACUAUGAAACUGCCAUUGAUACUGCGGGUCUUGAGUAAGGUAGAAGUAGCUGGAAUAAGUAGUGUAGCGGUGAAAUGCAUAGAUAUUACUUAGAACACCAAUUGCGAAGGCAGGUUACUAUGUCUUAACUGACGCUGAUGGACGAAAGCGUGGGGAGCGAACAGGAUUAGAUACCCUGGUAGUCCACGCCGUAAAACGAUGCUAACUCGUUUUUGGGCUUUCGGGUUCAGAGACUAAGCGAA
rnacentral:rRNA from 1 species